UCAAUUAAAGACGAAUUUUGGAAAAUUCUACAUAUAUACUGUUUCAUUCCACUUUGCAAUUAAAAUGGGAAACAACAGAGAUGUAAAUUUUGUUGUUGUUUGGAACAAAAAUAACAUCAACGUCCAAAUCGUAUUUGAAGGGAAUUCUCGGCAUUCUCGCGCAUGACAGUUACUUUUCAUUUAGGAUCUUUGGGAGUACCCGUAACUCAUGAGCUUCGGGUCCAAAUAUUUGGUCCGUUUUAGCGUAUCCUCAUCCCGGGUGCGUAUUGGCAUUGUUUACUAUGCUGCAACGCAUACGUGGUCUCUACACAAGGUCUAUAGAUUUAGUUUUUUUUUUUAGAUUUUAUAGAUUUAAUCUAUAGACUUUGACCCAGACAUAUCUUACCUGACAUAGUAACUAUUGUAUUAUGGAUACGCGCCCAUUCUCGAGGCAUUGUUUACCGCGUUGCAGUCCCAACCAUGUUCAAAUUUACUGCCUUUCGCAAUUUUGCAAUCGGCGUUCAUAAAAAUAACUAUAAUAUACUAUCGGAAAAAAUCGUUUAUUAAACUACACUAAAAUGAAAAAGAAUAAUACAUAGUAAAUAAUACUAAUACACAAAAAAUAACAAUAAAUACCAUGAUGUCUAUCCCAUAACCAUCUCCACAUAGCCUGGCAAACAUGAAAGACGCAAAGAGUCUACGGGAUUCGGGAAAAACAUUUUUUAAUGCAUUUCGUUCGGCAGUGGAGUCGUCAGUCAUAAAUAUUAUUGGAAAGCCAAAACCUCCAAAACUAUCCUUUGGUAAGGUGUCACGUAAUAAUUGAAAUGAUGCCGUGUAAUUUUCCUCCGAUUGUUCAGUAUGCAGAAUGCAGGCCAGAGGUACUGCACCAACUUUAGUAGCCCCAAAAAAGAACGGAAUUUGUUUGGUCGCAUGAACCACUGGAGUCUACAAAAACUAUCUCAUGACUAAAUAAGUGGUUAUGGACUCUCAUCAUAAUUGGUGUUAAAACAAUUAUGAUUAAUGGAUUUUCCCGAAUAAUGACGGUGAUACCCAUUUCGGAAUAUAACUUCUGUUUUUUUUUAACGCAGCUAUAACAUCUGAAUGUUCACGACCACCGAAGUGUUCCUCUAUAAAAAAAUCACAAAAAAUACAAAUUUUGUAUGUUUACUCCCAAAAACUAUACAAACCUCCAUUUAUAGUACAUUUGCUUUACUUGUCGCUCAGUUGGAUUGAUCUGUGCAUUUGCAAGGACAACUGGGAUUUCACUUUCAUCAUUUUCAUUUUCCAAUUUUAUUUCAUGAUAUCCUCUUGCUGCAGAGGGUGUCAUACCAUCUUCAAAAUAUUUGAAAAAUACUUCUUGGGUUUCAGGUGACAUUCACAAAUAACUGUAUUAUUAUUAUUAUUAUUUAUUGAAAAUAAGAGAAGAGGCAAAAGCCUAUACAUUUCAGGUACAAAUAAAUUCAAAGAAAUACAUUGCUAGUGUGCGAGGAGUUAAAAACAAUACAAUUAAAAAGAGAAGGCAGGAAGAGAAAAAAGCAAACAAAUUAACAUUGGAAAUCAAGAUACAGACAAGUGAUGAUCAAGACGGUUUUUGAAAGUGUUUAUUGACGGGGCGCAUACAACUUCGCUAGGCAGUGCGUUCCAAACGUGGAACGCACGAUUAGAGAAAAAAUGCUCUCGAACGGUACACUUGAAAUUUUCGCGGUAGAGCUUAAGAUGAUGACCACGCCGUCCCGCACAAACAAUCCACUCAUAUCACAACCGAAAAGAUGGCAGACCAAACAAACUGAGUCUCCCCUCGUACGUUGGACGCAUGAUACCGAAUGGAAUCCCUGAGGCACGCCACUACCUACUGCGAAACUACGGGAAGUAACGUCAGCCACCCUCACCUGAAACUGGCGAUCAUGAACAAAAGACUCGAUCCAUCGCAGGAGUCCACUCCUGACACCAAAAUGUUUCGAGCUUGUGGAGAAGUCUUCUAUGCGGCACACGAUAAAAUGCACGCGAGAAAUCUAAAUAUGCAACAUCCAUCGGGAUAUUACGAUCCACUGAUUUAGUCCAUUCAUCAAUACACCUCAGCAAGGCGGUUAUGACUGAUCUCUUCGGGAGAAAACCAUGCUGAUCGCCAUGAAUAAUGCUGUUUUGUUCAAAGAACGAUAAUAGCCUCGAACUGACCAACCGCUCGGCAAUCUUACCAAUAAUAGGAAGCAGGCUUAUGGGUCUAUAAUUUGAAGUAUCAAACUUGUCCCCUUUCGUAUACACUGGAGUCACCUUGGCACAUUUCCAUACUGUAGGCAGCUUCAUAGAAUCAAAAGAAAUAUUAAGUCUGGCGAUAGGAUCAGUUAGAGACUCAACACAGUUUUCUAGGAUGCUAGCAGGAAUGUUGUCAGGACCUGGUGCAGAGGUGGGGUCAAGUGAUCUUAGAAUGUCAUUAAUUUCUGUGGGAUUAAAGCUGAUACGAUCGAGAGUCUGGUGGCAUCACGUAUUUGAAGAAUUUCCUUCGAUUUUUUGAGCACGCCAAAUUAGUCUCAAACCUGUCCUUCGCCGCCUUGAUGGAUGCAGAUAAUUGGUUAGAAUAACUUCUAUGAGCGUCAUAGUUGGACCGUGAUCUAUCACGUAAGUACCUCUGUCAAAGACUCUUCUUGCAGCGGAUUCGAUCUAUAAAUUCACCAUUGAGCCAUGGUUUGGAAGGUAUGCUUCGAGUAAUGUAGAAUGUGGUGUUGUUAUCUACAUUCGCGUUGAGAAUUGACACAAAGGAAUCCCAGGCGGAGUCAGCAUCAAUGCCAGAGUGAAGAACCUGAUCCCAAUCUAUCGACAACAUGUAAUAAACCCCAUCUUUGGGGGUAUAUAUGUGUCAAUGGAAGAGCGGCUUUCCACUGACUAAAAAUUAAAAAGAUAUGAUGUUAUUGUGGGUUCGGCCCGUCGCACUAGGGACAGGUCUUUUUGUUGAUUUUUCUUUCUUGGGGACAGGAAUAUAUUUCCAGGUUAAUCAAACUCAAUUGAUUCUUUAAAAUCAAAUAUAAUAAAGCAAAAACUAGAGUUACAAUAUUCAAAAAUUUGUACUAUUUGACUCAACGGCCAAAACUUUCAAUACAGACAAAUCUAUCUCAAAUGAUCCACUAAUUAUUCAUUGAACAUUGAAUUUGGGAGAAUCAGGACUACUCAAUAAGACGAAAAUAAAAAGAAACCCAAAAGAUCGUUAAACUGUUACUUGCCCUUAUCCCACGAGGCUAGGUUGGUAUACCUAGUUUUAAUAAACUCCUUUUCAACUUUUCACACGAGACGUGUAAUUCUUUUUUAUUCACUUCACCCCCGAAUCACGCACUCAAAGUUAAUCUAUUUCUUUAUCAAAACAAAAUUGAAACUUUAU